rnacentral:rRNA from 1 species
AUUGAACGCUGGCGGCAGGCCUAACACAUGCAAGUCGAGCGGAGCGGCGGACGGGUGAGUAAUGCCUAGGAAUCUGCCUGGUAGUGGGGGAUAACGUCCGGAAACGGGCGCUAAUACCGCAUACUAUCAGAUGAGCCUAGGGCGGAUUAGCUAGUUGGUGGGGUAAAGGCCUACCAAGGCGACGAUCCGUAACUGGUCUGAGAGGAUGAUCAGUCACACUGGAAGUGAGACACGGUCCUGGCUCCUACGGGCGGCAGCAGUGGGGAAUAGUGGACAAUGGGCGAAAGCCUGAUCCAACCAUGCCGCGUGUGUGAAAGAGUUCUUCGGAGUGUAAAGCCCUGUAAGUUGGGAGGCGUUACCAACAGAAUAAGCACCGGCUAACUUCGUGCCAGCAGCCGCGGUAAUUC